rnacentral:rRNA from 1 species
AGUGAACGCUGGCGGUAGGCCUAACACAUGCAAGUCGAACGGCAGCACAGUAAGAGCUUGCUCUUACGGGUGGCGAGUGGCGGACGGGUGAGGAAUACAUCGGAAUCUACUUUUUCGUGGGGGAUAACGUAGGGAAACUUACGCUAAUACCGCAUACGACCUACGGGUGAAAGCAGGAGAUCUUCGGACUUUGCGUGAUUGUAUGAGCCGAUGUCGGAUUAGCUAGUUGGCGAGGUAAAGGCCCACCAAGGCGACGAUCCGUAGCUGGUCUGAGAGGAUGAUCAGCCACACUGGAACUGAGACACGGUCCAGACUCCUACGGGAGGCAGCAGUGGGGAAUAUUGGACAAAGGGCGAAAGCCUGAUCCAGCCAUACCGCGUGAGUGAAGAAGGCCUUCGGGUUGUAAAGCCCUUUUGUUGGGAAAGAAAAGCAGCAGGUUAAUCCCCCGCUGUUCUGACGGUACCCAAAGAAUAAGCACCGGCUAACUUCGUG